AAAAGUGAAAGACGGUCUUGCUGUCACUUAUAGAUGGAUCCGCGCUGCAUUAGCUAGUUGGUAAGGUAACGGCUUACCAAGGCAACGAUGCAUAGCCGACCUGAGAGGGUGAUCGGCCACACUGGAACUGAGACACGGUCCAGACUCCUACGGGAGGCAGCAGUAGGGAAUCUUCCGCAAUGGGCGAAAGCCUGACGGAGCAACGCCGCGUGAGUGAUGAAGGUCUUCGGAUCGUAAAACUCUGUUAUUAGGGAAGAACAUAUGUGUAAGUAACUGUGCACAUCUUGACGGUACCUAAUCAGAAAGCCACGGCUAACUACGUGCCAGCAGCCGCGGUAAUACGUAGGUGGCAAGCGUUAUCCGGAAUUAUUGGGCGUAAAGCGCGCGUAGGCGGUUUUUUAAGUCUGAUGUGAAAGCCCACGGC
rnacentral:rRNA from 1 species